AAAAAAGCAAACUCUAGAUUUUCGUGUCCAACUUUGGCUGUCAGUUUUAUAUAAAAUUUUUUUAUAAUUUGUAUUUUCAUUGUUGUUAGAUAAUAAAACAUGAUUAAUAUUUUAUGCGUGAUUUGUCUAUUUAUUUUUUUAUAAUUUUUUCAAAUAAGACAGACAAUCAAACGUUAAACACGGAAACCAGGGUUUUUCUUUUU
rnacentral:pre_miRNA from 1 species